rnacentral:tRNA from 1 species
AUUAUUUUGGCAGAAUAGUGCGAUAGAUUUAGAAUCUUUUUAUGUAGGGAAUCUUACAAAUAAUA